AAAGAAGGACAGAAUGCUCCUCCUCUGAAAGAACAUAGAGCAACGGUGCAAAGAAGUAAAAUCGGAGACCCCCUACCUUCUUCUUCUUGAUUUUUCUCCAGACCUAAUCAAAAAGAGACUUGAAAUAGUCGGACCUUCCCCUCCAGAAAAGAAAGAGAACGUCGCUGCUCUUCUUUCCUCCUCCAUCUCCAGACCUCUCCCAUAACCAAAAAAUGACCCACUUUUCUUCUUCACUCACAUACAUACAUGCGAUACCAAUUCAUAUCUAAAAAUCGAGUCUAGCUUUGAAAAUUGAAAGAGAGUUUAAAAAAAAGAACAAAACCAAAACAGAAAACAAAGGAAGACUUGAAUGCUAUUCGAACUUCUGCUUUUUUUUUUACUUCAAUUUUCCGGAAUUUCGAGUGGUAUUGGAGCUAUAAGAAGUGUUGUUUGCUGUUGAUUUUCUGCUCCGAUUCUGUUGAUUACUCGGCUCUUGCUUAAAACUUUCUUUAGCUGCUUUCAAGAGUUGUGGAAUCCGAAUAUGCUGCUGCUCUUCCCUAUUUGAGUUGUUUGAGCUUUAUCUUAAUGUUUUGGACCUUUAUUUGUCCAUCGACAUUUGUUAGAUUGAUUCAUGUGCGCUAGGUAUGUACUGAAAUUUUACUUUUCUUCCAGAUAUUUUAUAAUAUUAGAACGUAUGUGCCUUCGGAUUGUCGCUGCAAUUUUUCUGAAUUUAUUAGCUUCAGUUUUAGUUGAGUUUUAAAAACAAACGAUAUCUAGACUACUGUAAAGUCGUCAUGGGUCCAAAAGUAAUUGAAGUUACAAUAUUAGUAGUACUCAUUUUGAAGUUAUGAACAUUAUUUUAAAUACUGUUGUUAGUGAAUUAGAUAUUAUAUUGUCUACAUGUGUAUAUUAGCCCAUUUUACUUUUCUGAUUUGUAUUGUGAUAAGAGUGUCACACCUCCUUUUUGCGCGCCCUGCCCUGAAGGAUAAAUGCACGAGGGGAGUUUUUCCAAUUUAAGUGACAAUAUUCGAAAUAGGAUUAUUUAUUUAAUUCAGAGUCGCCACUUGGGAAAGGUUUGGUUUUCGGUGUCCCAAGUCACCGGUUUNNNNNNNNNNNNNNNNNNNNNNNNNAUGUGACCCCGAAUUUAAGAAUGUAAUUUAAUUAAUUCGCGCCUAAAGAGUCUAACGCGUUAUUAUCUUUGGGGGAAGACCAUGAAAUUCACUAAACAGUCCCUCCCGAAUUCUAAGUAUUUAUUAUGAUCAAUUAUUGAGGGCCCCACAACGUGCAUCUUUAUUUGACGAGGCUCGUCUCAUUAUUUUUAAAAGGGAUAUCCUAAAGUGACUACAUUUCUAUUAUGUUUGUCUCUAAAAAUAGAAAAAAAAAAGAUACGUGCUAAUUUAAUUGCAUGCUUUGGCCAACUCCGGAUUCCUGUUAAUCAUCUAAUUAAUUGUUUACGAGAUGAAGAAUGUUAUACCUUAUGGAACAUGCUUUUAACUUGAUAAAAAUUACAUACAAGCUGAUGAAACGCUACACUUACUCCAAACAUUUCUUGAGUUGAAUUUAACUAAACUUAUUUAGACUAGAUUAAGGGAGUUAACUACUAGAAAUUGUUACUAAUGGGAUUCAAACGUGACCCUACAUACUGCCUAACGGGACCCGAUAAAAGGGCUUAAAAUAAAACAGAGCUACGUUGUAUUUAAUAAGGUUGAAGCAUUCUACCCUAUGCAUACAAUUAUAGCUGAAAAAGAAUCUAGUCAAUCACUAUGUCAACUAUCCAUGCGUUCUAUAGAUUGCACAAUUACGUCCUUCGUACCAACAAACAACUAUAAACCAUAAUAAAAAAAGACUAAAACUUUAGUUAAGUAUAAAUUAACUAUCCUUUCAUGCUAUUGAAUUACAAACUAGCCAGUUACACGAGCCCAUCAAUAUACCAUGAGUAUUACAACAAGUAUUUAAACUUCUUCAACAUCUUUCAUUUCAUGCUUUCAACUGUUACAGCUACACCAAUAUGGGACUCAAAAUGUGUACCUGGGAUGCUGAAAAUGCAAAGGAGAAGAGGAAGAAGAUAGGGAAAAUCAGCAGCAGCAGGAACAAGAUAGCAACAACAAACAAAGCAACACAGCAGUAAAGACAACCCUAGGCAAGAAUGCAACUAUAGCUAAUGGAAAAAAGUAGCAAAAUGACAGCAACACACAGUGGAGUAGAGUCAGAACUCCAGAUAGACCAAAUCCAGGAACAAACCAAUGAAACCAAACAACCGGUAAACUCAGUUGGGGCUUGGAAAAAUCAGUAUUGAUUAAACAUGUCGAAACAAGUGAAAUCAAGACAACAAUGAGAAGAACAGUUUCUGAUUCUGUCUGUGUGUUUUCUAUCUCUCCCCCCUAUCUGUCUGUGUGUGUUCUCUUUGUAUGUGUGUAUUUUUGUAUUUCUGUGUUAUGCUUCUCUCAAUGUGUAUCUGAUGUUUUUCUUCUAAAAAAUCUAUUCCCUCUUCUAAAUUCACUUCUCAAUGUGUGUCCAUGUAUAUGCCUAUCUAUUUUCUAUCCCCCUGCUUUUUGAUUUUUUUUUCACUAAAUGGAAGCUCCUCUUAUUUAUAGCCUAGCAUCAGGCCAUUUACAGCUUGUUAAACAAAUCAGAACCCCCUCUUUUCUGCUGUUUUUCCACUCAAACUUUUAAAAGUAGAACCCCUCCCAUGAGAUUCCCUGACAGCCCUUUUAUCACCUUAUUAAACUAAAACAAGGGUAUGGAUAGCCUGGAGAUGGCCUGACAGCACAUGCUGUCCCAUUUGCUCUAAUUAUUAAAGAACUAUAGUGCACAUGCUAUCAAUUCAGAACUCAAACUGAACUGAAACCACAAACUAAACUAUAAAUGUUUCUGAUUCAAAUCCACAAAUAGCUAUACUUAGUUCCCAGUUGGAUUCAGACAGAACUUCACACAAAAACCAUAAUAUGAAUCAGAUUAUUACCAUUCAAAGUUAAACUAAUUGGCGACGUAUAUCGACUCGACCAUACUAAUUGUAACAUAUACAAUUGAAGCCAAUGAUCAGAAAUCCAAUAGUAUCAACAUGUGAUUCAAAUUGUACUGACUAAACAAGGUUGCACUGGGGACUAAUUAAUCAACCAAAUUUAAUUUCAAUUGAUUGUACAGCUUACACACAUACACACGAUCAGUAAAUGCAGAGAAACUUGACCAAAUACAAAAAUCUGGGCAAAGUGGACAGAACAGUUGACAAAAAUUCAAAAAUAAAUCAACUAAACAUUUGGACAUGUGAACAAACAUUCAAUUACAAAAAACACAUGAACUGAUAAAAAAAGAAAGCAAAAAUACCUUAAAAUCUUGAAAAAUCAAACAGGCGCUAACUCGGAUUUGAAUCGACCUUUCUUGGGGUUGAACAGACUUUAAUCGAAGUGUUCUCAACUGAGAACACUUUGAUUAAGGUCCAUUAGACCCUAAUCAUCUGGUUCAAACGGACACAGAUCGGACAUCAGGACUUCUAGGGUUCCUAAGGGCAGAUUUGGCAUUUGAGUUAUCCUGGUUGGAUUCGGACCAAACCAAACCUGGUUUGGUCAUGAGGGAGGUCCGGGGAGUGUCUAGUAUGAUUCUGGGGUGGGUUGGUGUAGAUCGAAGUUCUGCUCGAAUCUUCAAAUGAAGAUUCGAGAACCUAGGGACUGAUUCGAACCAAGCGGUUGGUGGAUUUGUGUUCAGGGUGGUUGAGUGGUCCUAGGGUGUUAAGGUGGUGGUCACCGGUGUCCUUGCCGCCGGGUUUAAUGGUGAAGGGAAAGGGGGCGGCGUUAGGGUUCUAAGGGAUUGGGGUUUGGUGAGGACGACCUAAGGGCAGAGGGGGUCUGGCUAGGGGGUGUGGGGUAAAGGGAUGGGCUUAUAUAGUAGAUGAGUGAUCAAAUCCUGGCCGUCGGAUAGAGUGAGAUGAAGGGCCAGGAUCUUUCAGCUGGUGAGGAACGGUGUCGUUCCAACUUAAAGGGGGUUGGGUCGGUCUGGGUGGAAUGGGUCGGGUCCAAACAACGGGUAGGUGUAUGUGAUAUUGGCCGUUGAUCAUUCUGAGAUCAACGGCCCAGAUCAAGCAAUAUCAAAACUACGUCGUUUGGAAGCCCCUGGGGUCAUCUGGUCUGGACCGGGCAAGACACAUGUUUUGGGCUUGAUUUGGUUCAAUUGAGUCGGCCCAAUUCUAAUUUCAAACCCAUUUUCUUCUUUUAAUUUGAUAAAAAAAAUGAAAUUCCUAAUAAAAUGUAAAAACCAAAAAACUAAAAAUCACACAAAUAUUAAUUAAUACUCAAACAACAAUUAUCACUCACAUUAAACAUCCAAUUGAAAUAAAAUCACUUAACGACAAAAAAAAUAGAAUAAAAGAUGCAUAUUUGUGAUUUUCUUUUAUAACCGAAUUAUGGUUUAACUACACACGACAUAUAUUUUUUAUAUUUUGUUUGAAAAAAAAUAAAAAUGGACAAGAUCACCAAUAGCUCACAAAAAUGCCACGUAAAUUCCAAAGAUUGUACAGCAAGACCAUUUGCUAUUAUUUUUAUUUCUUUUGGAGUGAUUGUCGCGUAAAACAAAAAUCACAUGCUCACAAAGAGAAUGUGAUAUUUCUUUUGGGUUGGUAAUUUGUCGGUUUGUGAUGCUUUAACCAAGAACUAGUGUGUGGACAGAAGUGUUCAAUUCUUUGGAAAAUUGAAAUAAUGAAUGUGCUAUACCAUAUACAUUUAGUAUCUUACCAUCUUGAAAUGAUAUAAUUUAUUGUUAGCUUACUCCAACUAGCUUAAUAUUCUUGUACUCCAAACGCAUCCACAUCCAUAAUUCAUGACCUUUCACAAAUUGCCCGAACUUAAAAAAAUGAAUAACUUAUGAAUAUCGUAGCAUACUUUAGGCGCGAUUAAUAAACCAUCGUGAUUAUGGGUACGGUUCCUGUGACAUAAUUACGAUGCCUAAUUCCAUAAUUCGAGUGUGCAUUUCAUGUGACCCGAUCGUAACAACAUUGAACAAUAAUAAAAUAAACAUAUCGUGAAUCGUGGGUGCAUUUUAUGUAGCGUGGUUUGCAAUGUGUUCCCAAAACGGCAAGUGUACGACAAUCGUAACUUGUUCAAGAAAUAAUUUCAUAAAUCCUAAAAGCGGUUUAAAAUAAAUAAAAGCAGUUAUAAAGUUAAAAAAGCACAAUAGGUUUAAAAUGUGUAGUAAAUCAGAUAAUAGGCCAAUUAUAAAUAGUUUAAGCGACCGUGCUAGAACCACAGAAUCCGAGAAUGCCUAACACCUUCUCCCAGGUUAACAAAAUUCCUUAUCUAGAAUUUCUGGUUCGCAAACUUUUAAAUAAAGUCGAAAAUUUCCUCGAUUUGGGAUUUUAAAAUAAAUUGGUGAAUUGGGACACCAAAUAAAUUAUUCCAAUUGGCGACUCUGAAAUUAAAUAAAAUAAUCCAAUUUCGAUUUAUGUCACUUUAAUUGGAAAAACUCCCUUAUAUUACCCUCAGGUGGUAAAAAGGAGGUGUGACAAUUUUAAGUAUUGUAACCCCAUUCUCUUAUUUAUUGCCUCCUCUAUGUUAUAGUGGGGUUAUUUAACUUGCCGGGGUGGUUGGUUUGGUUUCGAGUGAGUUUCAGAGUGAAUUGGGACACUUAGUCCCAAAGUUGGAAGCUCAAUUUGAAAGAGUUGAUUGGAGUUUGACCAUUGUGUAUACGACUUUGGAAUGGAGUUUUAAUGGUUUUGAUAGCUUCGUAUGGUGAUUUUAGACUUAGGAGCGUGUUUGGAUAUUGAUUUGGAGGUACGUAGGUCGUUUUGGCUUGAAUUGGCGAAAGUUAGAAAGUUGAACGUUUGGAAGAUUGAGAAGUUUGAUCGAGAAUUGACUUCAUUGAUAUCGGGGUCAAAUUCUAAUUUCGGAAGUUGGAAUAGGUCCGUUGUAUCAUUUAUGACUUGUGUGCAAAAUUUGAGUUUGAUCGAGAUUAGUUUGGUAUGAAGCGGCGUUAGUUUUAGAAGUUGGAUGUUCAUGGUUUCAAUAGGUUAGAAUUGGGUUGCAAUUCGUUGAAUCAAUGUUUUCUGCGAUUUUAGGCUUCGAGUAAGUUUUUUAUGUGUUUUGGAACUUGAUGGUAUGCUUGAACGGGGUCCUGGGGGCCCCGGAUGUGAUUCAGAUUGAAUCCGGGACCUUCUGCGACUUGGUAGGAAAUCUGCCCCGCUGAAGAUCUGGUGCAAUCGCACCCGUACAUUUGGGCCACAUGUGUGGUACUACAGAUGCGGCCUGUGAGUCGCAAAAGCGAUUUGGGCCAGGUGAGUUGUGACCGCAGUUACGGUCCUUCAUCCGCAGAAGCGGACUCGCAUAAGUGAGCCAUGGUCCGUAGAAGCGGAACUGCAGAAGCGGUUUGUGACUGCAGAAGCCGAAGGUCCUGGCUUAAGUGACAGAUGCACAUGCGAUGGAAUUUCUGCAUGUGUGGAGUAGCAGAUGCUGCUAUUUGUCCACAGAAGCAAAACCACUGGCCAAAAAAGGUGCAGAUCGAGGCUUUUUUCCCAUUUUUCAUCUUUUGAGUUAGAGAUCUCAGUUUUGGACGAUACUGAUAGAUAUUUUCACAGAGUUAAUUGGGGUAAGUUAUUUUUACUCGGAUUUGAUUAUUGUAUAUGAAUCCAUCAUUGUUUUUACCAUUUAAUUAUUAUUUUGAGUUGGAAAAAUUGUGAAAAUUUCCUAAGCUAUAUUUUGAGGAUUUGAAGGUCGAUUGAAGUCGAAAUUGAAUAAUUUUAGUAUGGUUGGACUCAUUAUUGAAUGGGUAUUCGAAUUUUGUAAGUUUGGUUGGGUUCCGAGACACGAUCCUUUGAGUUGACUUUUUGAUUUUCUUUAAAGAUUGCAACUUUAUUAUUCGGAAUAAUUUUCUAUGGUUUGUAUUUAUGGUGUAAAGUUAUUUUGGCUAGAUUUUAGCCGUUCAGAGUUGAAUAUUUGUAGAAAAAGCUUACUAGUGGAUUGAAUUAGCUUGUUUGAGGUAAGUAUCUUGCCUAACUUAGUGUGGGGUUAUUACCCUUUAGGAUUGGAGUUGUUUGUGUUAGUUGUCAUACAUGAAAGGUGUGUACCCAAGGUGACGAGUGGGUACACGCGCUAUCUGUGGUAAUUAACCGGUUUAGACUAUUUAGAUUCUUUUCAUGCCUUUAACCGUAUUGUUAUAAUAUAUUAUAUCAUUCAUCGUUAAAUUAUCCUUACAUGCUUUAUUUGACAUGGUUAAAUGUUUGUCCCAUCUUUUACUUGUCAAUUGCGCUUACAUGCUUAGUUGAUGUUCUUGUUUCCUUAUUACCUUGUCAAUUAUUUAACUGUUUAUCAACCUUACUCCAAAUUGUUAUCUCUUGGAAUAUCUUCAUGUUGAGUGUUGGUGUUGAAGUUGUAAAAUUCAUUAUCAUAUUGAGGCAAAAUUGUUUAUUGUUGAAAUACCAUUCUUGUUAAGCUAUUAAAUUUCAGUUUGCUAUUGUUAAGACUGUUGUACACAUUGUGGUUGAGCCAAGGGCUGUUUAUUGUAAAAACAUUAAUAUAGUUGAUUCUUUUGGCAAGUGGCAGUAUUUGGGCUCUUGAGGUGCGAGUUAUGAUAUGUUAAAAUAUUGAUACGCAUGCGAUGGUAUAAGGAUAGUGGUUGAUACACAUACGGUGAGAUAAGAUGGUCUUGACAUGCAUGUUACUAGUAAAGAAACUAUUUGAAUCCACGCGGUGUGAUAAGAUGGGCUAAAACGCGGGUAGCUAUUUCGGAAAAAUGAUUUUCAAAACUAUUUGUAAAGCUCCCGCGGUGAUAUAAGGAAAAAAUUGUGAUUGUGAAUGUGAAAUGAGAUACAAGGCGGUACCUCAGGCAUGAUUCUUGUUUUUAUUUUUCAUUUACAUCAGUUGUGCUUAUUCCGCAUCGUUUCCUUGGUAUUCUUAUUAUGUGUUCCUCCCUUGAUGCCUUUAUUGCCUUAAAUUCAGUGUAGCUUAUCUUGCUGUAUUUCUUCAUUGUAUCAUUUCCUUGUUUCCAUUAUUGUACUGUACAAUACCCGUUCAUCUUAUAUUAUUAUUCUAGUAGGUUUCUUAACCUAACCUCGUCACUACUCUACUGAGGUUAGGCUUGAUAUUUAUUGGGUACCAUUGCGGUGUACUCAUACUACGCUUCUGCACAUCUUUUUGUGCAAAUCUAGGUACCUCAUACCAGGUUAGGCACCAGUGAGUUGAGCUUUUAGAUCGGAGACUUCAAGGUAUAUCUGCGGCAUUCGCAAAUCUGUAGCCCAACCUUCCAGCCCAAUCCAAGUAGCCCUUCUAAAAUCUGGACGCAACCUGUUUGAAAUAACCCGCCCCAGUCCCUUUAAAAUCCUGGUCGUUGAUCUUUGUCGUUGAUCUUAAGAGAUCAACGGCCCACGAUUAACCCCCUCUUUUAAUUAUCCACCCAACCCUAAUCCUCACAUUCACUCUGCCCAACCACCCUAAAACACUCUCCACUCCCUUCUCUUUCAUUAAACCUAGUUGUCACACCCCAAUUCCUCUCCGAUUCCAACCUAGAGAUGGAAUCUACUUAUGAUAUACUUACCUUACUAAUAU
rnacentral:lncRNA from 1 species